CAGAAGGAUACACCACUGAGCGGGUGAGACGCGCUAGAAAACAACACGUGGUAACGGUGGCACACGUGUGUAGUAUACCGUGCAUAUGCAUGGUGGAAGGCCUUCCUCCAUACUGCCACUGAGCCGUGAGCGCACGGUGGUCGUUUUAAGCGGUUUAUUUUUGCGACUUCGUGUAUCAUCGUGACAACUUGUAAGAAAUUAGUCUGUGACUCUGAGGAAUCGCUGGCACACCUACCUGCCUACGUGAUAUGGAGUGUUAAAGGUGAUAGCAGAGUGGCUGGUCCCCUGCCUGUGGGCUCAUCUUCUGACAUCAUGGCCUGAUAGAGUAAGGUGAUAGCAGAGUGGCUGGUCCCCUGCCUGUGGACUCAUCUUCUGACAUCAUGGCCUGAUAGAGUAAGGUGAUAGCAGAGUGGCUGGUCCCCUGCCUGUAGGCUCAUCUCCUGGCAUCACUGGCCUGAUAGAGUAAGGCGAUAGCAGCGUGGUUGGUCCCCUGCCUGUGGGCUCAUCUUCUGACAUCGUGGCCUGAUAGAGUAAGGUGAUAGCAGAGUGGUUGAUCCCCUGCCUGUCCAAACGCAAUCAUUAGCACAACCACCCCAAGCACCGCCCUGAAAUAGUGCUCAAGAUUUGGCAAGGUCUCAUUGCCAGGUGAAUGUACUGCCAUGGCUGCUGCCUACAUGAACGUUGAGGGUAGCUAGCGUCAUGGUGCAAGUGGACUGACCAAUGAUAUCUCCAAAGUAAAGAGGCAGGUUACAUCAUAAGUAGGACAGACCUCCUCAUACGAAAGCUGUGGGUAUGCCCCAGGAG